rnacentral:rRNA from 1 species
GUGGGGAAUAUUGGACAAUGGGGGGAAACCUGAUCCAGCCAUGCCGCGUGUGUGAAGAAGGCCUUUUGGUUGUAAAGCACUUUAAGCGAGGAGGAGGCUACCGAGAUUAAUACUCUUGGAUAGUGGACGUUACUCGCAGAAUAAGCACCGGCUAACUCUGUGCCAGCAGCCGCGGUAAUACAGAGGGUGCAAGCGUUAAUCGGAUUUACUGGGCGUAAAGCGCGCGUAGGUGGCCAAUUAAGUCAAAUGUGAAAUCCCCGAGCUUAACUUGGGAAUUGCAUUCGAUACUGGUUGGCUAGAGUAUGGGAGAGGAUGGUAGAAUUCCAGGUGUAGCGGUGAAAUGCGUAGAGAUCUGGAGGAAUACCGAUGGCGAAGGCAGCCAUCUGGCCUAAUACUGACACUGAGGUGCGAAAGCAUGGGGAGCAAACAGGAUUAGAUACCCGAGUAGUCC